CUGAGUUUGAGGACAACUGAGAGCUUGCCUUCCCAUUUCACAGAUGAGGAGAUGGAGGCCCAGAGACCUUGAGCACCCGGCCAAGGUCCCAGCGACAUAAUCUUAGACUCAAUACUAGAAUCCAGCUAUCAUGACUCUUGGUCUUGGGAUCUUUUCACUCCUUGCAGGCAACAUCUGACACAUGUGACAAGCACUCAAGCCAGUUCUUUGAGGAACUGAGAAUUUGGAGACGAAAGGGAGUCUUGCCCUGAGGAGCCUGUGGCUGCAGGAAGCACUGGGUCCUAGCAUCAAAGGGAGAGAGAGACACGUCUGCGAGCUCAGAGAGACUGUCCCCACGGUUCCCAUCCUCCAUUGAAUGGCAGUUCCAACCAAAUCAGCACAAAUCCGGAAUUCACUAAAUAAAACCACCGGAAAACAAGGUCGAAGCGACCCAGGCCAAAAGAACCCAUAAAACAAGCGCCUUCCUAUCCAUCCUGAGAGGCGAGCUGCAGAGUGGCCCCAAGUGACAACGGGGGACUCGCGGCUGGGCCUCAUCCCCCACUCCAGCACCGCCUGGGAUGAAUCACACGACAGAGAACAACGGGGCUAUUUCUUAAGAGUCAUUUGUCAAGUUGACAUCCGCGCCUCGAGUUAUUUAGGGCUUUCUAAAGACGCUUCUUUCCCUCCCAGCCGCAGGAAGCACCUGCAUGGCUGUCGAGCUGUGGGUUUGCUCAAUGGCACUUUGAUAUCUCUUCAGGUCAUCAAUUACCCUGGUGUCCCCUCCCUGCAGGCACGGACUUUGGCCGGGACGAAGAUAGGCAGGCUUAGAGAGGAGGAUGGAGAGGAGGAUGAAGCCCAAGAGGACGGCAAGCUCCUCCCUGCCCCGGGAUCUGAGUCCAGACACCGUCUGGAGGCUACAGCUGCGGUGGAAGUAAAGGAACAAGUCUCUGUUGACAUGUCUGCCUUUCUGGAGCCUCCAAUGGAAAGUUUUAUGAAAAGUAAGAUAGAAGAGAGUUCAUGAGAAGGUAGAAGUGCAGUCUGGAAGGCUCCGAUUUAGAGGGCCUCACAGUUCCUUGUUUUGCAACACAGUCUGCUGGGCUUAUUCAUUACUUUGCCACUUGGUUCCAGAAGUUGGUCAACUGUUUUGGUAUCUCUGAGGAGUUAUCUUUUGUUGCUCAUAGCAGAUACAUCCUAGGAGAGCAAUUUCUUGGACUUCAAUUACCUGUGAAGUCUCUUUUGGAAAGGUUAAAACAAGUAUCAAGGGCACCAUUUUCUUGCUUUUUCUACCCAGAUACCCUAGUGUUUCAUGCUUCCAUGGAUAAGAAGA
rnacentral:lncRNA from 1 species